rnacentral:rRNA from 1 species
GACGAACGCUGGCGGCGUGCUUAACACAUGCAAGUCGAACGGAAAGGCCCUGCUUUUGUGGGGUGCUCGAGUGGCGAACGGGUGAGUAACACGUGAGUAACCUGCCCUUGACUUUGGGAUAACUUCAGGAAACUGGGGCUAAUACCGGAUAGGAGCUCCUGCUGCAUGGUGGGGGUUGGAAAGUUUCGGCGGUUGGGGAUGGACUCGCGGCUUAUCAGCUUGUUGGUGGGGUAGUGGCUUACCAAGGCUUUGACGGGUAGCCGGCCUGAGAGGGUGACCGGCCACAUUGGGACUGAGAUACGGCCCAGACUCCUACGGGAGGCAGCAGUGGGGAAUAUUGCACAAUGGGCGGAAGCCUGAUGCAGCAACGCCGCGUGCGGGAUGACGGCCUUCGGGUUGUAAACCGCUUCCGCCUGUGACGAAGCGUGAGUGGCGGUAAUGGGUAAAGAAGCACCGGCUAACUACGU